GUCUUGACGCUUUAUGGAUGUGAGAUUGUUCUCCUUCACGAUCAUUUCAAAGCUAUGGAGGGUGAGCGUGGUCCACAUAGAAGCCUGGAGAAGAAUGAAAGGAACAGACGUGCAAGUCCUCCCACCACAUCAGUCUGGGCGAAGAGGCUGGUGUGAAAUGCGCUUCUGAGUGUGAGCAAUUUUGUCUGAUGGGGCAAUGCCAUUGUGUUACUUAGAAUAACCUUGAGGACAUUCUAUUACAAUUCCCUUUACUUUGUUCUGUUUGUUUGUUUUUUAAGUAGGCUCCAUGCCCAGCGUGGAACCGGAUAUGGGGCUUGAACCCAAGGACCCUGAGAUCGAAAGUCAGAUGCUUAAUUGCCUGAGCCACUCGGCACCUUGAUUCCCUUUACUCUGAAUGAAGGUGAAUAAUGAAUGUGUAACUAAACUAU
rnacentral:lncRNA from 1 species